CGGCGGACGGGUGAGUAACGCGUGGGUAACCUGCCUCAUACAGGGGGAUAACAGUUGGAAACGGCUGCUAAUACCGCAUAAGCGCACAGUACCGCAUGGUACGGUGUGAAAAACUCCGGUGGUAUGAGAUGGACCCGCGUCUGAUUAGGUAGCUGGUGGGGUAACGGCCUACCAAGCCGACGAUCAGUAGCCGACCUGAGAGGGUGACCGGCCACAUUGGGACUGAGACACGGCCCAA
rnacentral:rRNA from 1 species